rnacentral:rRNA from 1 species
UAACACCAACUCCCCGAGUGGUCCGGAUGAUUAUUGGGCUUAAAGCGUCCGUAGCCGGCUCAGUAAGUCUCCGGUCAAAUCUGGUGUCUCAAGCGCCAGACCGCCGGAGAUACUGCUGGGCUAGGGAGCGGGAGAGGCGGGCGGUAUUCCCUGGGUAGGGGUAAAAUCCUAGGAUCCAGGGAGGACCAUCGGGGGCGAAGGCGGCCCGCUAGAACGCGUCCGACGGUGAGGGACGAAAGCUGGGGGAGCGAUCCGGAUUAGAUACCCGGGUAGUCCCAGCUGUAAACGAUGCAGGCUAGGUGUGUGGGUGCCCUAGAGGUACCCAUGUGCCGAAGGGAAACCGUUAAGCCUGCCGCCUGGGGAGUACGGCCGCAAGGCUG